rnacentral:rRNA from 1 species
CCUACGGGAGGCAGCAGUGGGGAAUUUUGCGCAAUGCUCGUAAGAGUGACGCAGCGACGCCGCGUGAAUGACGAAGGCCUUCGGGUCGUAAAGUUCUUUCGACAGGGAAGAAAAUGCCUAUAAGUAACUGUGUAUGUAUUGACGGUACCUGUAUAAGCAGCCCCGGCUAACUCCGUGCCAGCAGCCGCGGUAAUACGGAGGGGGCGAGCGUUGUUCGGUGUGAUUGGGCGUAAAGAGCACGUAGGCGGUGUUGUAAGUCAUUAGUCAAAGACUAGAGCUCAACUUUAGUAAGGCUAGUGAUACUAUAAUACUAGAGUAUCAGAGAGGAUUGCAGAAUUCCUGGUGUAGCGGUGAAAUGCGUAGAUAUCAGGAGGAAUACCGUUAGCGAAGGCGGCAAUCUGGCUGGAAACUGACGCUGAGGUGCGAAAGCGUGGGUAGCAAACAGGAUUAGAUACCCUUGUAGUC